rfam:Tolypothrix bouteillei VB521301 scaffold_7, whole genome shotgun sequence.
GUCAGCACCCCGCUCUGAAGAAACGGGGCUUCGUGCCUCUGCCUUUAGGUAGCUGACCCGCUUAAGUCCUUAACUGGACUACGUUAUCGGCAAGAGUUAAAGUUCGUACCUGCGAAUACGUGAUGCCAGUUCGCUGCUCUACAACCAAAUGGUUAACCAGUUUUACGAGGGGUAAGACAGUGCUGUUUGGAUAGUGAGGCAAAUCUGAAGACGGGUUUCCCGUCGCAGGAUAUUGCCGAACCCGUAAGGGUACCGACCGAUAACUUUGGCAAGGCUCACAUUAC